UACGUAGGGUGCGAGCGUUAAUCGGAAUUACUGGGCGUAAAGUGUGCGCAGGCGGCCGAGCAAGUCGAGUGUGAAAGCCCCGAGCUUAACUUGGGAACUGCGCUCGAAACUACUUGGCUAGAGUGUGGCAGGGGGAGGUGGAAUUCCACGUGUAGCGGUGAAAUGCGUAGAUAUCGUAAGGAAGACCAGUGGCGAAGGCGGGUCUCUGGACAGUUCCUGACGCUGAGGCACGAAGGUCAGGGGAGCAAACGGG
rnacentral:rRNA from 1 species